UAAAAAGUCAAGAGAACUUCCGCAUACGCAUCCACGUUGUACACAAACCCAUAUCGCAGGUAGGAUCAGUGACACAUGGGGUGAAGCUGAAUAAACCUAUGAGUCAGUGACAGCAAACUCGUCCAAGUUACCGUGGUUACUUGUGUCCCAAGGAAAGGUGAUGAGAAGAUCAAAGGACGUGCUGUAGAGUAACCAUGGCAACAACCUUGAGACUUCAUAACUCUUUCAUUCUGGAAAUUUGUUUAAGGAUUUUCUUAGCAAUAUUCUUUUAUAUUUCUGAUGAUGCUGUUCCAUUCCGGAGAAAGAUACAACCGGAAGAGUACUGGCUGUACCAGUUCCCACGCACACCUAGUUACUACCCCAGUAGAUACUUAUGGAGAACAGUUUAUGGAGCCCCGAUCAUGGUGAUAGGAGCGAUGUACCUGUGGAAAAAGGAUAUUACAGAUCUAAAGCAGGCUGUCCUAGGUGUAGUGUUGUCUGUUUUCCUGACUGGGUCUGUAACUAACUGUAUCAAGCUAGGUGUCGGCAGGCCCCGGCCAGACUUCAUAGCACGCUGUUUUCCCGAUGGGGCUUUUAACGAUGAGUUCCGCUGUACAGGAAAUGAGCUUGAUGUGAUACAGGGGUAUAAAAGUUUCCCUAGUGGCCAUUCUUCAUUUGCCUUCAGUAGCCUUGGUUUCCUGGCCCUGUAUGUAGCUGGAAAGCUGCAGUGUUUCAGUCAUCGGGGCAGAGGUCAGACAUGGCGUAUGUUUUGUGUUGUCUGCCUCCUCCUUUGGGCUGUUAUGAUCAGUGUGUCACGCACCGCUGACUACCACCACCACUGGCAAGAUGUGAGUGUGGGAUCAGUCCUGGGGAUGGCCAUUGCCUACAUGUGUUACAGACAGUACUAUCCUGCGAUCAACAAACUCAACUCGGACAUUCCUUACGUAUCAAUAACACAGGAACUGGAAAUGCCGUCAACUCCUCUCUUUUCUAACACAGCCAAUGAUGACAUUUUAAAGAUAGUGUGAUUCUUUAGGAUUUGUGUAUUUAGUUAAAUUGUUGAUGUAAGUCAGACUAUGGCUGUGUAUGUUGAUAACAUACUUAAGGCUAUAUGCUACCUUAUUGUGUAAUCUAUAUAGAUCAGUUGUCGAUGUAAGUGCAGAGACUACAGCUCUGUGUGUGUUUGUCAAUAAUGUAUGCUACCUUAGUGUAUUAAGUUAAAUUGUUGAGGUAAGUUAGACUAUGGCUGUGUGUUUGUCAAUAACAUACUUAAGGCUGUAUGCUACCUUAUUGUAUUUAGUUAAAUUGUUGAGGUAAGUUAGACUAUGACUGUUUAUGUCUAUAACAUACUUAAGGCUGUAUGCUACCUUACUGUUUAUGUACUGGUAGUUUAAAUGUUGAGGUAAGUUAGACUGGCUGUGUGUUUGUCAAUAACAUACUUAA